rnacentral:RNase_P_RNA from 2 species
AAAACAGACCGCCCGCGCGUGCGUGGGUGAGGGUGAAAAGGUGGGGUAAGGGCCCACCGCGGACCCGGCAACGGGAACGGCAUGGUAAACCCCACCGGGAGCAAAACCGAAUAGGGGUGGUGCGAGGGGAAACCCUCAGGGCUGUUUCCGGCUCACCGCCCGGGUAGGUUGCGUGAGGCGCAUGGCAACAUGCGCCCAAGAAGAAUGGUCGCCACGUUCCCGUGCUGCAAGGCGCGGGGGCCAUACAGAACCCGGCUUACAGGCCAGCUGGCGCU